ACAGAUAACUGCUGUUACAUGGUCCCCGCCAUUUGAAGGACCCCUCUUUGUACCCGAGGAAGAUGUAGAGCCAUACUAUGAGGCAUAUCGAGAAUUUAGUACUCAAUUAGAGACUUCAGAUAAAGUGGUGUCAUAUAGGUUACAGGAAGGUGACUGUGUUAUAUUCAACAACAGAAGAAUCCUCCAUGGAAGAACACAGUUUCAGCAAAAUGGUGGAGUUCGACACUUACGGGGAUGUUACGUGAACAUCGAUGACUUCCGAUGCAAAGUUCAGUAUCUACACGAGAAGCAAGGCCUUGGACAACUUGCCAAGCGGGUUGGAAACCAGUGUAUGUUCUAAACUUGAGCUAAUUAUAUAAGAGGAAAACAGCUAAAGCCUUUAACCGUCAGCUUGAUGCUGAGAUUCAGAGAGAUGAUAUAUUUUCUUGGCAAGACCGACAGGAAAGUGAUGAAAUUGCUUGCGAUGUGAUAUAUGAUAAUGGGCUGUUUGUAUUUUUUGGAUAAGAUUUUUUUUUGCAGUACUAUUUUACAUAAAUCUUUGCCAAGAAUUUGCUGAGUGAUUGUUAUUUUUUCUAUAUAUAAAUCUUUAUAAUAUAAAAAAAAAAUCAUAUAUUUUUAACAAUAUUGUAGUCAUAUUUCAAAUAGCUUCCAGUGGGAUUGUAUCAUCUUGCCCCUCCCCCCCCCCCCCCCUCUCUGUGCCAAGAAAGAAAUCUCUUUGCUAGCAUGCCAUAUAUGUAGAUUCUCUUUCUCUUUGUAUUUGAUGAACAGUUUCAGAUAUGGUUAGUAUGGGUCAGCAGAUGGAAAGUCAUAAAUGCAUUCUUCAAGAAACAAAAACUGGUGGCAUUUUUUCAGUAUUUAUUCAGAGAACUUUUAAACUAAUAAAACAAUAUAUUUACAUUUGCUUAUAUGUUAGGUAAUAAUAAUAUCAGACAUUAGAAAUUGAGAUUCUUUUCGUGCUCUGAAAAGUGUUGGAAGUCUGAUUAUUUAGCCGACCUGUAGUAAAUUCUUACAUUGUUGAAGCAAGCGAAAAGUUAUGAAAUCACGGACGCUUGCUGAAAUUACAGCAUGCUGAAAAUUGUCAGUGCAAAUACAACCUGUCUACUGUUUAUUAUUGAGCAUUUCCUCAUUUUCUGCUAGAAUCAAUUGGCACAUGAUACUUAUUCAUUAAAACAAAAACAAAAAAAAAUUUGUGGGAUUAUACAUUCGAGAUUCUAGUUCAAAUAUUGAAAAGAAUACAUAUUUUGCAGGUCAAUUUUGACCACUUUAGGGGUUUUCCUUAAACUGAUGACGAAUUGCAGUACCAGUAAUAGUAAAAAAUAAAUAAAUAAAAAAUUUGUUGGUAAAGAUCAGUUGACAGGACCGAUGAAGGAUCUGAACUUAUACUUCAUUUGAUGUCAUUGAUAUUCAUUUUUAUGUCAUCAUAUCAUAAGAGGUAUGAAUACUUAUCACUUAUUAUUUUGAAUUUGAUGAUUUGACACUUGCACGCGUUGUGGUGCCCGCAUUGCCCUACAUUGCCAGUGUGGAACAUUUUAUGACACGACUUGCCUGUAUGAGGGCAUACAUUGUCCCAACACAUUCACGGCAUUGUUGCGACAUGUUUCUGCAUUGCUUGCGCAUAGUUCACACAACAUUCGAGGAUUGUCCCAAGAUGCUUUCAGCAAAAAUUCCUGUCACCCUAUUCUGUCGUGCCCAAGUUUUCAAUGUGUUGACAAAUUUGCACCCAUUUCAUGCACUGCCACGCCCCUCCCAUUCCUUUCAACAUGCGUGAUCCCUGCAUCUGCACGAAAUAAGUUUGUACCCCUGCGCAAACUAUGUGGGAACGAUAAUGCUUGCAAGUAUUAAUGGGGCUUUGGAUGAUUCAUAAGAGAAAAAUUAAACACCCUUUUAAGAAGCUUUUUCCUUGUUUGGUCACUUUGAAUGCAAAUGAAAUCACAUAAUAGAGCCUAUACUUAUAGUGUACACCCGUAGAUUAGUGUUUAUAUUGUUUUUUAUGUUGCUGUUAUUUUUGAUAAAAGAAAGUGUAGCUAAAAUAAAUAAGUAAAUCUUAGAAAUCAAAUAUUAUUUCAUGCCAACAGUAUGUCAAAGGAAAGGGGAAACUGGAUUUCAUUUUUAAAAAUUAUAUCCUUGUAAUAUGUUUGGGAAGUUCAUGCAAACUUUUUAUGCAUUAUGUGUAAUAUGGAAAUAAGUUUACUUUGCAAUAUAUUCUAUGAUUAUAAGUAUUCUUUUGUUAAAUGUCCGUUAACCUUCAGUUGAAAAACUCUAAUAUUUACAUUUUUAUCUUCAUUUGCUUAUCCUGUAUUUUCUUUUCUCUUUUGUAAUAUAUGAUAUAAUUUGGUGUAUAAGUCCUAGCCAGAAUAAAAUGUAUAAAAUUGUGUGAGAUUUUUUUUUUAGCUACAGGAACUCCUGUUACUGAAAUAUAUUAUGUUCACAAAAGCACUUUUAUCGGGAUUCCCAGCCCAUCAGGGAGAUCAGGGAAAAUUAUUUUUUCCAUUCAAGGAAAAAAUCAGGGAAUUUGAUUUUUUUUUUAAUACCUCAAAUCAGGGAAAAAUACCUCAAAUCAGGGAAAAUGCCUCAAAUGAGGGAAUAAUCAGGGAAUUUUGAUCAGUGCAAUAUAUUCUAUGAUUAUAAGUAUUCUUUUGUUAAAUGUCCAUUAACCUUCAGUUGAAAAACUCUAAUAUUUACAUUUUUAUCUUCAUUUGCUUAUCCUGUAUUUUCUUUUCUCUUUUGUAAUAUAUGAUAUAAUUUGGUGUAUAAGUCCUAGCCAGAAUAAAAUGUAUAAAAUUGUGUGAGUUUUUUUUUAGCUACAGGAACUCUUGUUACUGAAAUAUAUUAUGUUCACAAAAGCACUUUUAUCGGGAUUCCCAGCCCAUCAGGGAGAUCAGGGAAAAUUAUUUUUUCCAUUCAAGGAAAAAAUCAGGGAAUUUGAUUUUUUUUUUUAAUACCUCAAAUCAGGGAAAAAUACCUCAAAUCAGGGAAAAUGCCUCAAAUGAGGGAAAAAUCAGGGAAUUUUGAUCAGCGCAAAAGUCGAAAGCACGGAGGUCAGUCAGACUCUGUUUUGUUUGUUGCAUAUCAAAACAUCAUCCAUUGAACGACUGGUUAUGGUGGUACUAAUUAGUUUUACAUUAUCGUUUUUAUCAUGAAAAUACAUCUUAUUCAAUGCAAUAACUUAGAAAACAUGCAAAACUGGGAAUGAGUUUGAAUAAUUAUCAGCGAACUUUUAAACUUCAUCAUGAGAGUAAUCAAGUAUCACUGAACAUCUUUUGUGAGUUUCAGGGCACAUGACCAGGGUCAAUGAACUUAGAUCAUGUUGGGGAAUCAAAACGAAUUCUUGACCAAGGUUAAGUUUUUGAAAUGUCAUAACUUUGAAAGGAUAUGGAUCCAGUUAAUGAAACUUGGACAUAAGAGUAAUCAAACAUCAGUGAACAUCCUGUGUGAGUUUGAGGUCACAUGACCAAGGUCAAUGAACUUUGGCUGUGUUGGGGGUAUUUGUUGAAUUGCCAUCAUAACUUUGACAGUUUAUGCGUCUAAUUCAUGAAAUGUGGACAUAAGGGUUAUCAAGUAUCACUGAUUGUCUUGCAUAAGUCUUCGGUCACAUGAUCAAGGUCAAAUGUCAUUUAGGGUCAAUAAACAUAGUACUUGUAUUUUAUCAUAUGUUUUUUUUUGUGAAUAAUUAUUCUGUAGCCGUUUCAAAGUCAGUACUGCUGCUAUAUUGAAUCACAUAAUUCUGGCAAGACUGCCAUAGGCGCUCCACUUGUUACGAUAUGUUAAUGAAUUAUUAAACAACUUAAUUAUUAUAAAACAACGGCCUUCAAAUGGAGUUUGAGGGGGUAUAUAGGAAUUAGUGUAUGGUCAGUUGAUCAGGUAGGUGCUUCAAACUACUUCCUCAGUUUGCCCAAAUGCUCUUGAGACUUGGUACACAUUGGUUGAGGAGUGAAGACAUGCAAGACACAUUUUUCUAGUGUGUCCGGUAUUGAAUCACCCAUACAUAUGUUUUACACAUUGGUCAUUGUAUAGUGCAGGAGUAUUGAUCAGAUUCGGUGAUAUUAGAUAUGAUUUAGAAAAUGUUUGACUAAGUAAAUGUGGAUACUGUAAAUAAUAGAAUUUUAUGAUACUAUAAAAUGGUGAUAUAACAUUUCAGUUUAUAGAUUACUCAUUAUGAAAUGUGGGUUAUUGAUAUCAAAUGUAAUCCUGAUGAAUGUUGGUUAAUACUGCUUGGUGAUAUGAAAUUAUGUCAUUUAUAGACAAAGCAUUUAUAUGAUUUCUAAGAAAUAAAUCAUGUUUAUUGACGAUUCAGUUAAA